rnacentral:lncRNA from 1 species
GAAAAGUAAACAUAGCCAAUCCAAUCCAAAACAACAUCCAAUGUUGAUCUAAAAGCUCAAAACCCAUCAAACAAAACCAGCAAAGCAAUAAUAAAUUAAUAAAAUAAUCAGAAUUUUUGUGUGCUAUGAAGAAUUAAGAUAGAUGUUAGUUAGCACAUAUUUUUCAUGAUGAGUAAGUGAUUUUGCGUUGAAAAAUUCUUGGCUUAGCGUAAAAAGAUGGACUCUAAUCCAAAACGUCAUCACCUCUUUACCAACUUGUUUUUAUACCCAACCAAAUUACUCAUUUUCCUCUCACAUUCAAUUCAAUUAUUCAUUUCAUAUACAAACUAUUAAAACCCAAAAUCCUUAAAUUCUCUCUCACAAACUUUUACACACACAAAUAAUGGAGGGUCUAAUUCCUUUGGUUUACAAGACUAUAAUGCAAUACAAGAGUGGAAAAGAAGGUGCUAUAGGAUCAUGGAUUUGUGAGUCACCUUCAUAUUCAUACAUAAGACUUCCUACCGGUGAUUCAGGUCAUUUUCAAAUUCAAAACUCUACUUCAUUAUCUACCAAUCACGUUUCUUCUUCUUCGUCAUCUUCUUCUUCCGCAACACAAAUCAUUGUAUCUUCUGGUGUUCAAUCUUCACAUCAAUGUGUUACACAUCGUCGAAUUGCGGCAUGAAUAACAUAAACACAAAAAAGGGUCAUUGCUAUAUUAGAUGGACUUAGUUCAAGUUUUCUAUAUAUAGUUCUUGCUUUCAAAUGUUGGGAAGCUUUUGGUUUUUAUAUUUUGAACUUUGAAGUUGUGAGCGUGUGGAAAAAAAAAGGAAAAGUUCAUCAUGCUCUUGGUUAGUUUGUAAAUUAAUUAAUUGUGAUUAUGUGUUGAUGAUGCUUAAGAAAAUGUUCCAUUGUGUUUUAUGGCCAAAAGGGUCACUUGAUGUAUGAGUUUUUAGGGUAAUUGAUAUGUACGCGUUUCUUUGGCCAAAGAGGUCGUGAAGAUAAUUGGUUUGUAGAAAAAAAGGAAUUAGUCUACAAUUGUCAAUUGUUUACUUUAUGUUCUUAAUGGAAAGAUAGAUAUCAAAUUAGUAUAAACAUUAAACCAUUUAUCUUUUUCACCAAUAUUUACAUGAUUGAUCGAGUGGUAAGAAACUCACAUCUUUUGACAAUAUUUAGAACUUUGAUAUUUGACUUUGACAUAUAGAAAAAGUAUAUUAAGAAUACCUCAUGUGUGAUUGAGAGAUUGUGGGAGGGUCGCUCCAAGACCAACAAGAGAUGAUAUAUUAUAUCUCCAUCAAAAUUUAUGGUAUAGGAGAAUGAAUCAACCUUUUUUAUGUAUUUAAUAUUUAACUCAUAUUUAAUUAAUUAAUAUAAGAUUAAUCAACCCAACACUUUGUACCAUAUAACAUGGUUAUAAAAAACUUUAAAUCCUUGGUUCUGCUCAGCAAAAUUGUGAGGUUGUUAGUUUUGUGCCGAGGGAGUUGGUCAAAUCUUAGGCUCAUUGUUAUUUGUCAUUCAGCAAUAUAUAUAUUAAAAUUGAAUUAACUAAUGAAAUUAGGUAUGGUGGGAGGUGGCUGCCGAAGGGGAGAUGUCUUCAUCCAAUAGUGCAAAAUAUAUAUUUUUGUUUCAACCUAAUCCAAACAUACAAAUUUAAAAUUUUCGU